rnacentral:rRNA from 1 species
GUGCCAGCAGCCGCGGUAAUACGUAGGUGGCAAGCGUUGUCCGGAAUUAUUGGGCGUAAAGCGCGCGCAGGCGGUCCUUUAAGUCUGAUGUGAAAGCCCACGUCAACCCGUGGAGGGUCAUUGGAAACUGGGGGACUUGAGUACAGAAGAGGAAAGCGGAAUUCCACGUGUAGCGGUGAAAUGCGUAGAGAUGUGGAGGAACACCAGUGGCGAAGGCGGCUUUCUGGUCUGUAACUGACGCUGAGGCGCGAAAGCGUGGGGAGCAAACAGGAUUAGAUACCCUGGUAGUCC